AGGACGAACGCUGGCGGCGUGCUUAACACAUGCAAGUCGAGCGGAAAGGCCCUUCGGGGUACUCGAGCGGCGAACGGGUGAGUAACACGUGAGUAAUCUGCCCCUAGCUCUGGGAUAGCUCCGGGAAACCGGGAUUAAUACCGGAUACGACCACCUUAGACAUCUUUUGUGGUGGAAAGAAUUUCGGCUAGGGACGAGCUCGCGGCCUAUCAGCUUGUUGGUGGGGUAACGCCUACCAAGGCGACGACGGGUA
rnacentral:rRNA from 1 species